GACAUUAUUAAGCAGGUACUGUAAUGGGACAUUAUUAAGCAGGUACUGUACUGGGACAUUAUUAAGCAGGUACUGUACUGGGACAUUAUUAAGCAGGUACUGUACUGGGACAUUAUUAAGCAGGUACUGUACUGGGACAUUAUUAAGCAGGUACUGUACUGGGACAUUAUUAAGCAGGUACUGUACUGGGACAUUAUUAAGCAGGUACUGUACUGGGACAUUAUUAAGCAGGUACUGGGACAUUAUUAAGCAGGUACUGUACUGGGACAUUAUUAAGCAGGUACUGUACUGGGACAUUAUUAAGCAGGUACUGUACUGGGACAUUAUUAAGCAGGUACUGUACUGGGACAUUAUUAAGCAGGUACUGUACUGGGACAUUAUUAAGCAGGUACUGUACUGGGACAUUAUUAAGCAGGUACUGGGACAUUAUUAAGCAGGUACUGUACUGGGACAUUAUUAAACAGGUACUGUACUGGGACAUUAUUAAACAGGUACUGUACUGGGACAUUAUUAAACAGGUACUGUACUGGGACAUUAUUAAGCAGGUACUGUACUGGGACAUUAUUAAACAGGUACUGUACUGGGACAUUAUUAAGCAGGUACUGUACUGGGACAUUAUUAAGCAGGUACUGUACUGGGACAUUAUUAAACAGGUACUGUACUGGGACAUUAUUAAGCAGGUACUGUACUGGGACAUUAUUAAGCAGGUACUGUACUGGGACAUUAUUAAGCAGGUACUGUACUGGGACAUUAUUAAGCAGGUACUGUACUGGGACAUUAUUAAACAGGUACUGUACUGGGACAUUAUUAAACAGGUACUGUACUGGGGCAUCUUUUCAGGUGGAGAAAAUGUAUCGUCUGAUUGUUUGAUUUGUUCAAAAUGAUAAAUACUUUUGAUUGAUUUGUUAUUCCUGCCCCCUUCUGGCAGUGUCCAUCCAGUUGGUGCAUGAUAACGCGGACCUGCGCUGCAAGCUUCGUAAGCUGACCCUCAUAUCUCUGUUUC